rnacentral:rRNA from 1 species
GACGAACGCUGGCGGCGUGCUUAACACAUGCAAGUCGAACGGAAAGGCCCUGCUUUUGUGGGGUGCUCGAGUGGCGAACGGGUGAGUAACACGUGAGUAACCUGCCCUUGACUUUGGGAUAACUUCAGGAAACUGGGGCUAAUACCGGAUAGGAGCUCCUGCUGCAUGGUGGGGGUUGGAAAGUUUCGGCGGUUGGGGAUGGACUCGCGGCUUAUCAGCUUGUUGGUGGGGUAGUGGCUUACCAAGGCUUUGACGGGUAGCCGGCCUGAGAGGGUGACCGGCCACAUUGGGACUGAGAUACGGCCCAGACUCCUACGGGAGGCAGCAGUGGGGAAUAUUGCACAAUGGGCGGAAGCCUGAUGCAGCAACGCCGCGUGCGGGAUGACGGCCUUCGGGUUGUAAACCGCUUUCGCCUGUGACGAAGCGUGAGUGACGGUAAUGGGUAAAGAAGCACCGGCUAACUACGUGCCAGCAGCCGCGGUGAUACGUAGGGUGCGAGCGUUGUCCGGAUUUAUUGGGCGUAAAGGGCUCGUAGGUGGUUGAUCGCGUCGGAAGUGUAAUCUUGGGGCUUAACCCUGAGCGUGCUUUCGAUACGGGUUGACUUGAGGAAGGUAGGGGAGAAUGGAAUUCCUGGUGGAGCGGUGGAAUGCGCAGAUAUCAGGAGGAACACCAGUGGCGAAGGCGGUCCUCUGGGCCUUUCCUGACGCUGAGGAGCGAAAGCGUGGGGAGCGAACAGGCUUAGAUACCCUGGUAGUCCACGCUGUAAACGGUGGGUACUAGGUGUGGGGUCCAUUCCACGGGUUCCGUGCCGUAGCUAACGCUUUAAGUACCCCGCCUGGGGAGUACGGCCGCAAGGCUAAAACUCAAAGGAAUUGACGGGGCCCCGCACAAGCGGCGGAGCAUGCGGAUUAAUUCGAUGCAACGCGUAGAACCUUACCUGGGUUUGACAUGGAUCGGGAGUGCUCAGAGAUGGGUGUGCCUCUUUUGGGGUCGGUUCACAGGUGGUGCAUGGCUGUCGUCAGCUCGUGUCGUGAGAUGUUGGGUUAAGUCCCGCAACGAGCGCAACCCUUGUUCACUGUUGCCAGCACGUUAUGGUGGGGACUCAGUGGAGACCGCCGGGGUCAACUCGGAGGAAGGUGGGGAUGACGUCAAGUCAUCAUGCCCCUUAUGUCCAGGGCUUCACGCAUGCUACAAUGGCUGGUACAGAGAGUGGCGAGCCUGUGAGGGUGAGCGAAUCUCGGAAAGCCGGUCUCAGUUCGGAUUGGGGUCUGCAACUCGACCUCAUGAAGUCGGAGUCGCUAGUAAUCGCAGAUCAGCAACGCUGCGGUGAAUACGUUCCCGGG